AUACCGACCCAGCAGGGGUGAUAGCAUGAUCACAAGGUGGUUUUCCCUGGUCAAGGCUUAUGCAUUGCACUCCAGAUGUGCUGACCCCUGCGAUUUCCCCAAAUGUGGGAAACUCCUCUGCAUAAUUUGUGGUGGUGGGGGACUAUGUUCGCACUCUCCCCUG
ensembl:snRNA U1 U1 spliceosomal RNA